GUUUGUUUGCCUGUUGUGCUGUUCAAACACUGUCUAAGGUUAUAGGAGGGUUAUGCGCUCACAAAUAUGUUUUGCCGGACCCAAGUUAGAAGUAUGUAAUGAAGUGGUUGUCAUUGGUUACUGUCUGAUAUUUGUUAUUAGUUUCCUGUUUUGUUCAUAAAUAAAGAUGUUUGUUUUUUCAUUUCAAUUGUUUUGCAUCUUUUCAUAUCCGUCC
rnacentral:lncRNA from 1 species